GACGAACGCUGGCGGCGUGCUUAACACAUGCAAGUCGAACGGGCCUGUCUUCUUUUUUGGGGGGUGGGUUGAGUGGCGAACGGGUGAGUAUCACGUGAGUAACCUGCCCUUCGGUCCUGGAUAACCGCUUGAAAGGGCGGCUAAUACGGGGUGGUCCGGUUGGUCCGCAUGGGCUGGUCGGGAUAGAUUCACUGUUUUUGGUGUUUCGGCGGGGGAUGGGCUCGCGGCCUAUCAGCUUGUUGGUGGGGUGAUGGCCUACCAAGGCGGUGACAGGUAGCCGGCCUGAGAGGGUGGGCGGCCACACUGGGACUGAGGUACGGCCCAGACUCCUGCGGGAGGCAGCAGUGGGGGGUAUUGCACAAUGGGCGGAAGCCUGAUGCAGCGACGUCGCGUGAGGGAUGGAGGCCUUCGGGUUGUGAACCUCUGUUUCCGGUGGUGAAGGCCCUGUCCGUGUGGUGGGGUUGACGGUAGCCGGGGAUGAAGCGCCGGCUAACUACGUG
rnacentral:rRNA from 1 species